GAAGGUAUAGCUCAAUGGUAGAGCGUGUGCUUGGCAUGCACAGGUUCUGGGUUCAAUCCCUAGUGCCUCUG
rnacentral:tRNA from 1 species